GGAAAAGUAAAUUUUAUGUAUUCGUUAUAUUUAUAUUUUUUUAAGUAUUGAAGGUUUUAGUGAUAAAAUUACUGUUAUAUUUUAGAAAAUUUGGAUCUUUUUGGGAAUAGGGACCCCCUCAUUAUCUGUUGUAGAAGGACAACAAAUGAUAUCUAUUUUUGUCUUGAUAAUUUUGAUACAAAGGAAAAAAUGAUUUCUUUUCUUCAGCGUAAGGGGGACUUUGCACAGUGUAAGUGUUUGUUCUAAUAAGCAUCAAAUGUAACUCCAUCUAGGAGAAAAAGGAUAGAUGGAGAUGUCACGUGAAAGCCUGCAAACAACGUUUGGAGUAAGAAAAGGAAUAUACAUCUACUAAAUUUGUCAAGAGGAACUGGGAUUAGCUACCGAUAUUAUUACAGAUUGGAAAAAUAUGUUUAGAGAAGUUUGCGCAGUUCAUUUGAUGUAUUCACCCAGGUACAACCAUGAUGUCGGACAUGUGGGCAUCCUACAACAUGGUACAAGACGAAGUUUGAUAGACUCAUAUUUUUGUGAAUUUCUGUGGCGUCACAGAAAUAGCGUGGCCACUAUUAGAAUCAUCCUGACUUGCCUAUUCUUGCUGGUUAUAUGGUCAGAUCCAAGUUGGCAUUUGAUCAUCUUCGCAGUUCCCCUACAGGUUCAUCCCCUCACAGAACCAACAGCUCUAUAACAGUAUAGCUAUGUUUACAGUAUAAAUUUAUAAAAGCAAAUGCAUUAAAGAUUUUCUUUAAUUA
rnacentral:misc_RNA from 1 species